rnacentral:rRNA from 1 species
GAUGAACGCUGGCGGCGUGCCUAAUACAUGCAAGUCGAGCGCACAGACGUGGUGCUUGUUCCUCUUGGGUUAGCGGCGGACGGGUGAGUAACACGUGGAGAACCUGCCUUUAAGCGUGGGACAACUUCUGGAAACGAGUGCUAAUACCGGAUAAUAUCUUUAACCACAUGGUUCAAUAUUGAAAGACGCUAUUGCUUCCCCCUAUAGUUAUCUCCGCGUCGCUUAGCCUAUUUGGUAGGUUAAGGCCCUACCAAGCCAAGGAUCAUAACCCGACCUGGAGGGUUGAUCGGCAACAUGGGAACUGGACAACGGUCCAACCUCCUACGGGAGCCAGAAGAGGGGAAUCUUCGGCAAUGGCCGAAAGCUUGACGGAGCAAGGCCGGUGGGUUGAGGAGGGUCUCCGAAUCUUAAACCUCUUUUAUUAGGGAAGAACAAAUGGGUAAGUAAAUAUGCACGUAUUGACGGUACCUAAUCAGAAAGCCACGGCUAACUACGUG